UACGUAGGGUGCAAGCGUUGUCCGGAAUUAUUGGGCGUAAAGAGCUCGUAGGCGGUUUGUCGCGUCUGCCGUGAAAGUCCGGGGCUCAACUCCGGAUCUGCGGUGGGUACGGGCAGACUAGAGUGAUGUAGGGGAGACUGGAAUUCCUGGUGUAGCGGUGAAAUGCGCAGAUAUCAGGAGGAACACCGAUGGCGAAGGCAGGUCUCUGGGCAUUAACUGACGCUGAGGAGCGAAAGCAUGGGGGAGCGAACAGG
rnacentral:rRNA from 1 species